rnacentral:rRNA from 1 species
GACGAACGCUGGCGGCGUGCUUAACACAUGCAAGUCGAACGGAAAGGCCCUGCUUUUGUGGGGUGCUCGAGUGGCGAACGGGUGAGUAACACGUGAGUAACCUGCCCUUGACUUUGGGAUAACUUCAGGAAACUGGGGCUAAUACCGGAUAGGAGCUCCUGCUGCAUGGUGGGGGUUGGAAAGUUUCGGCGGUUGGGGAUGGACUCGCGGCUUAUCAGCUUGUUGGUGGGGUAGUGGCUUACCAAGGCUUUGACGGGUAGCCGGCCUGAGAGGGUGACCGGGCACAUUGGGACUGAGAGACGGACCAGACUCCUACGGGAGGCAGCAGUGGGGAAUAUUGCACAAUGGGCGGAAGCCUGAUGCAGAAACGCUGCGUGCGGGAUGACGGCCUUCGGGUUGUAAACAGCUUUCGCCUGUGACGAAGCGUGAGUGACGGUAAUGGGUAAAGAAGCACCGGCUAACUACGUG